AGAAGUUCAAAAAAUAAACUUUUAAAAAGUUUGCACUGUUUUUGCUAUAACAACUAUAGUCAUCUUUUUGCCAACCAUGUAUAUUACAGGGUUAAAAUAAGGUUUUUUGAACUGAACUAAAAUAAUAAAUUGUACUGAACACCUAAAGAGCGUGUUCUUUUCCCCAUCUUCCCAACUACUAAAUUAGCAGAACACAUGUACGCAUUUUAAUAGCAGAAGCAAAGUGAGAGAGAGGUUGCCGUGAGAGUGUCGUUGACGCAUGCAGAGGACUACCAUCAGCUCUCAACUUGGACGGCUGCCAGCAACCAUUGUGGACCGGCCCGUGGUGGUGUGGCCCAACCAGAGGAGGUCGGUGGCUACGGGAUGCGUUGCCGGGACGACGCAUAAGAAUUAAACUGAAAGGAUUUUAGAUAUGGAACUGAACCGAAAGAAGAAACUGGACAUCACAUGUAUAUUAGCUUUUAUUUGACAACACAGAAACAUAAGAAAGGAUAAUUUUUAGUUUCAGAAAUUAGCUCUAUGGAUGAUCAGGUCCUCCAUGGAUCACAGCACAGAUAGGCCAAGAGUUUAGUCAGUCCAGUAAUUUACUAAUGUGGUAUGUCAGUAAGAAGACUAGCAUUCACACCUGUUGGAAUAAAAAGAAAUAUCCAAGUCAGCAUGCGUUUUGUUGAACUGAGCCUUGUGCUGAAUCUGAUCAAUGCUUGGAAGCCUUGUGCUGAAUAAAACAAAAUUUGGACAUAUAAUACAUACUGAAUCACUACUUUUUGCUUCUUCUUUUUUGUAUGAACUGCUCGUAUAAUACAUACUGAAUCACUGUUUAUUUUUAUUAACAAAUUGCUUUUAUACUAAUGAAAGAAUGUACCUUUCAGUAGCUACGCAUUCGAACCGAUCAUCUUUUUGAAAUUUGAACUGACCAUUGUUUUUAAUUCAAACCAAUUUUUAAUUCGAACUAAUGAUUUCUUUUAUUUUCAAACUGAUCAUUGUUUUUAAUUCAUAUUGAUCAUUUCUGUACUCCAGAUGGAAAUGCAAGAAAAUUGAAUUGGCUGUACUAGGAGGGUCACUUCGCAAGUACACUAGUACUAGCACAUAUGCACUGACGUACACUAUCACCAUUGACAUAGCAAAUUUUAAUUGACGGUACCAAAUGCAACAAAGCGCAACCGGCAGUAGCAAUUUUUUAGCACAUCCUCAUGAAACCCUCAGUGAUCUGAAAUACAAAUGCAUCAAUAAUGGUUGCAACUUGCAAACACAUUGACAGUAGCAGCAAUGCUGCAACUCAGGACGGCCGAGAAGUAGAUGAACUGAAAGACAUUCAAAAGUUGAAUUGAAAUAAAAUAAUGUCUUCACUUUAGGCAUUAUCUGGACAUGAUGAAGACUAGCUAAUGUAAGGACAGACACAGAACCCUAAAUACUGAACUUUUGGGGGAAAUUUACUUGAACUAUGUUUUGUAACUAUAUGUGCUAAAUAGAUCGUAACAACAAAUAAUUCACUUCAUAGCCCUGAAAUCAUGAAAAAGGUUUACCCAGGGAUUGUCCUUUCCGAAGCAAUGUAGGUCAAAGAGAUACUAGCACGUCCUAUUAAAUUCUGAAAUUACAUAACACAGUUGCUACGCACUAGGAGCUGUGCGCAGACAGCGGAAGGAGCAGCGGACGGGUAGCAACCGCCAAGGAACUGGCGCUGAGCCGGAUCCAGGGGCGGAGCACGGGUUGGACUUCACACGGCGCUUUGAGCAACCGGUGGUAGAGCAAUUAGUUGGACUGCCGAACUACAGAAGCAUCCACAACGAGACCGACGUGCAUUCUGACAAAGAAAAAUAAGACAUGAACUGAACUCACUGAACUAAAAAGAAGGCACACUAUGAACUUGUCACACAUCAGCGGAAUAUACACCAGCAGCCAGGAACAUACCUGAACUUGGCAUAGACUGGGGACAUGAACAUGUCGCACAUCCACACUAGCACCAACGACACAAGCCAUGGUGGCUAUCAGGGGAGCCGGCCUGGAUCCGGUCGGAGAUGGGGGCGGC
rnacentral:lncRNA from 1 species